rnacentral:rRNA from 1 species
GGAAGGAUCAUUAAAGAUUUAAAAAUAUUGAAUUAUCUGAGGCUAGUUGGGGAUCGAGAGCCAGUGGGAGUGCUUUGAGCCUGCGCUUAAUUGCGCGGUUCUGGUGCUACUGCCGGGUCUUGUUCUAUUCAAACUGACUUUUCAAGGAUUUUUCUAAUCACACACUGUGGAGUUUUCUUCUUUACACUUCUUUCUUUGGGGAUGCAAGUCCCCAAAGUACACAAACACAAACAAUUUUGUAAUUUAUUCUAGUCAAAAAUAUUGUUUUUAAUUAAACAUCCAAAUAUUUAAAACUUUCAACAACGGAUCUCUUGGUUCUCGCAUCGAUGAAGAACGCAGCGAAAUGCGAUACGUAAUGUGAAUUGCAGAAUUCCGUGAAUCAUCGAAUCUUUGAACGCACAUUGCGCCCCUUGGUAUUCCAGGGGGCAUGCCUGUUUGAGCGUCAUUUCCUUCUCAAAUACUUGUAUUUGGUUGUGAGUGAUACUCUUUUGAGUUAGCUUGAAAUUGCUAGCCGUUUUGUGUUUUUGCAAAUGUUAUUUCUUUUGAAGGAAUAGAAUUUGUCGUAUUAGGUUUUACCAACUACGGUUAUGUUCUAGUCUGAAUAAGAGAUGGUAUUACAGAGGCGCUUGGCGAACAAUACUCUUUAAGUUUGACCUCAAAUCAGGUAGGAAUA